CUACUUUGGCAAUACAUAUAAUAAAAUUGGAACAAUAUAGAGAAGAUUAGCAUGGCCCCUGUGUAAGGAUGAUAUGCAAAUUUGUGAAGCAUUCCAUACUGGA